rnacentral:misc_RNA from 1 species
AAGUCGUAACAAGGUAACCGUAGGUGAACCUGCGGUUGGAUCAUUAAAAAUCUAACUUUUGAGGCUAGCAUCUCUUGACUCUUUUGGGGUCUAGGAUCUAGUUUUCAUCAACCCACCUUUGUGAACUGUUUUCUGUAUUUUGGACGUGGGUUAGUGUUAGUCGUAAGACAAAAGCACUUGGAAGCGGGCCUUUGGGCUCGACCCGUCCAACGGGACUUGAGAUCUCGAUCUCCUGGCCCAACCCUUUAAGCCUAUAAUUUUGAAAAACUUUGUCUAGAAUUUUUUGAAUCUAUUUUAAGAUAAAAAAAAAAAACAACUUUUGACAACGGAUCUCUAGGCUCUC